GUAGGUGAACCUGCGGAAGGAUCAUUACCAAAAAAUCCAAUUACCAACCCCUUUUUGUGAACUUUCAGAAUGUAUUUGGGAGAUGUUUGGGUCUGAAGAGUAUCCCUCUUCCUUCACAAAGCUCCCAAUUUUUUUUAUUAACCACUUGACCUUUGUUGGUGGGACUUGAAAGCGGGGAGGCAACUCUUCUUUUUUAUAUUCUAACUAAUUAGGGGUUCAAUACCAAUUUCUUUUUUUUAAAAAUUAUCAUAAAAAAAAAAAUUUAAAAGUUUAAAACAACUUUUAACGGUGGAUCUCUUGGCUCGU
rnacentral:misc_RNA from 1 species